rnacentral:rRNA from 1 species
AAUGAACGCUGGCGGUGUGCCUAACACAUGCAAGUCGAGCGAACAGACGGGGAGCUCUCUCUCCUGCCGUUAGCGGCGGACGGGCGAGUAACAAGUAGAUAACCAACUACUUUUUCUGGGAUAAUUACGGGAGACAGGAGAUACUACUACCUAAUAUAUCCUACCGCUUGAAUCAAUAGUUAUUGAGGGCUUUCCUGUCACUAUUAGACGAAUCCGGGUCGCAUUAGCUAGUUGGUAAGGUAACGGCUUACCAAGGCAACGAUGCGUAGCCGACCUGAGAGGAUGAUCGGCCACACUGGAACUGAGACACGGUCCAGACUCCUACGGGAGGCAGCAGUAGGGAAUAUUCGGCAAUGGGCGAAAGCCUGACGGAGCAACGCCGCGUGAGUGAAGAAGGUCUUCGGGUCGUAAAACUCUGUUAUUAGGGAAGAAAAGAUGUGGAAGAAACUAUGGACGUCUUGACGGUACCUAAAGAAAAAGCAACGGCUAACUACGUG